AAAAACACACAAAACAUUACAUACAACACAAACACAACACAUCUGGCCAGUUUUAUAGUCAGUCAAAGUGCCAGUCAGGCCCCAUUAUUUUAUCAAAUUGCAGUCUAAUUUUAAAUUGUACUGAAGCUUCAGGAAUUUGCCAAUGUUUUGUCAACAUUUUUCAUGAUUUAAUUUAAUCAAUUUUAAGUCUAGUCGUCAGGAACCUGUAGUAAAUAUCGUGCACGUUCAC